rnacentral:lncRNA from 1 species
GAUUCUAGUGCAUGCGAGGAAAGGCUACCGAAGAGCAAUUUCAAUUUGAUCCCGAAAUUAAAAGAACGUUUCGAAAGCUCAAUAGCAAAACACGAAGAAGAAGAAAACUAGACGAAGAGAGGAAACGGAGAUAAGAAGCAUCUACUUCUUCACUUGUUCAAAUUGAGGAAGUAGGUGUAUAACCUUGUGAAGGAAACAUGGCGAAUGAAGCUCCUACCGAAAUGUCCGCGAAUAGUCCAAGGAGGAAUGCCC